rnacentral:rRNA from 1 species
UUGGUUAAGUUAGAAAGGGCGCACGGUGGAUGCCUUGGCACUAGGAGCCGAAGAAGGACGGGACUAACACCGAUAUGCUUUGGGGAGCUGUACGUAAGCGUUGAUCCAGAGAUUUCCGAAUGGGGGAACCCACUAUCUUUAGUCGGAUAGUAUCCUUACGUGAAUACAUAGCGUAAGGAAGGCAGACCCAGGGAACUGAAACAUCUAAGUACCUGGAGGAAGAGAAAGAAAAAUCGAUUUCCUGAGUAGCGGCGAGCGAAACGGAAAGAGCCCAAACCAAGAAGCUUGCUUCUUGGGGUUGUAGGACACUCUAUACGGAGUUACAAAAGAAAGUUAUAAAUGAAGCGGUCUGGAAAGGCCCGCCAAAGACGGUAACAGCCCGGUAGUUGAAAUGGCUUUCCCUCCAGAGUGGAUCCUGAGUACGGCGGAACACGUGAAAUUCCGUCGGAAUCCGGGAGGACCAUCUCCCAAGGCUAAAUACUCCCUAGUGACCGAUAGUGAACCAGUACCGUGAGGGAAAGGUGAAAAGCACCCCGGAAGGGGAGUGAAACAGUUCCUGAAACCGUGUGCCUACAAGUAGUUAGAGCCCGUUAAUGGGUGAUAGCGUGCCUUUUGUAGAAUGAACCGGCGAGUUACGAUUUGUUGCAAGGUUAAGCGGAAAAAGCGGAGCCGUAGCGAAAGCGAGUCUGAAUAGGGCGCAUAAGUAACAGGUCGUAGACCCGAAACCAGGUGAUCUACCCAUGUCCAGGAUGAAGGUAAGGUAAUACUUACUGGAGGUCCGAACCCACGCACGUUGAAAAGUGCGGGGAUGAGGUGUGGGUAGCGGAGAAAUUCCAAUCGAACUUGGAGAUAGCUGGUUCUCUCCGAAAUAGCUUUAGGGCUAGCCUCGAGGUAAAGAGUCAUGGAGGUAGAGCACUGUUUGGACUAGGGGCCCUUCUC